rnacentral:rRNA from 1 species
GACGAACGCUGGCGGCGUGCUUAACACAUGCAAGUCGAACGGUGAAGCGCCUUCCUUUUUGGUGGGUGUGGAUGAGUGGCGAACGGGUGGGUAACACGUGAGUAACCUGCCCCCUUCUUCUGGAUAACCGCAUGAAAGUGUGGCUAAUACGGGAUAUUCUGGGCCUGUCGCAUGAUGGGUCUGGGAAAGAUAUUGUUUCGGUGGGGGAUGGGCUCGCGGCCUAUCAGCUUGUUGGUGGGGUGAUGGCCUACCAAGGCGGUGACGGGUAGCCGGCCUGAGAGGGUGGACGGUCACACUGGGACUGAGACACGGCCCAGACUCCUACGGGAGGCAGCAGUGGGGAAUAUUGCACAAUGGGCGCAAGCCUGAUGCAGCGACGCCGCGUGAGGGAUGGAGGCCUUCGGGUUGUGAACCUCUUUCGCCAGUGAAGCAGGCCUGCCUCGUUUGUGGGUGGGUUGACGGUAGCUGGAUAAGAAGCGCCGGCUAACUACGUG